GACGGAAAGGGAGCCAGACCUCCAUGUACACUUAAAGGUGACGGAAAGGGAGCCAGACCUCCAUGUACACUUAAAGGUGACGGAAAGGGAGCCAGACCUCCAUGUACACUUAAAGGUGACGGAAAGGGAGCCAGACCUCCAUGUACACUUAAAGGUGACGGAAAGGGAGCCAGACCUCCAUGUACACUUAAAGGUGACGGAAAGGGAGCCAGACCUCCAUGUACACUUAAAGGUGACGGAAAGGGAGCCAGACCUCCAUGUACACUUAAAGGUGACGGAAAUGGCCCCAAAAAAAAUCCAGUGGGAGUUUGGGAUCUCAGAUGCACUUCCGCUUUACAAAAUGUACUUUUCCGUUUCACUAAAAAAGAUUGGGGGACCGAAGUGUAUGAGAGUAAUGUUGUGGCUUUGUGAUAGAACACUCCUCUCCCCGGUCAUGUCCGACCAUUUACAGAGAGCUGGCCGAGAACAUCCGAAUGAACGCAGAAAUAAACGACAUUUCAGAGAAAAGUGAGCUAAAUACAACUUUUAUAUUUUACUUUAUUCCAUGUUAUUUCUUACUUUACUUUUCAAAGAGGCAGCAGAAGUUAUUCAUAUGUGAAAUGAAAUUAUAUUGUAGACCCUUGAAAUAUUAGAGCGACGAGGGUAACAGUCUCUGCAGUCAAACAGAGAAGUCAGCCGUUUGCUAUUGUUGUUGUUGUUUUCCUGCUUGUAUCACAAUGCAUUCUGGUACUUGUAGUCCUGUAAUGCUUUUUUUUUAAAGGUGAAGAACAUGGUGUGGUUAUCAGAUCAAUUUAUUUUUAGUUGGUUUUAAUGUGGAUAAAACAUGUUUGGAUUUCAUAUGAAAUGUUCUUGUUUUGGCAAAGGAAAGCUAUGGGGAAAAAUGGAAAAAAACACAAAUAAAGCUUUUUGUCUAUAGCGGA